AGUCUUCUCGAGCACAUCGUCGCAAACGGGGCCGGAAAGCGUGGCAGCGCAGGCGCAAGCGCAGAGAGCGGAGGCGGUGGUGGUGGCGGCCGCUGGCCAGUGUAAGAUGGCGGCGGCGUUGGUGGUGGCAGUGGACGGGGCGGCUGGGCCUGGAACAGUCGGAGCAGCCGCUAGCAGAAGGAUGACCCAAGACGGGAAGCGGGCUGCUGAGCCUCGCCGAUUCCCGUGCUUGUAACUGCCCCAGCCGGACACCCCCCCUCCCUUGACCUACCCGGUCUGUGUCUCGUUCCGGCUCGGCCUGCGCCCCCCCUCGCUUCCCAGCCGGUUUCCCCUAAGGAUGGGCCUGACCCGUAUCCCAAGCUCUUAGCGCUCAGGUCUUUUCCUUCCGCCGACCCGAAGUCAUCGCUGGGAGUACUGGUUGCCCUUUCCUCAGUCCUUCAGUGAAUCUACAGACCUAUUUUCUCAGGAGCUCAGCCUGGCCUUACUUCAGUGAUAAAAGGAGGAAAGGCUGGCUACAGCAAACAUCAUUCAAGAUGUCCAGCAAAGGGAGCAGCACAGAUGGCAGAACAGACUUAGCUAAUGGAAGCCUGUCUAGCAGUCCAGAGGAGAUGUCUGGAGCUGAAGAGGGGAGGGAGACAUCCUCAGGCAUUGAAGUGGAGGCCUCAGACCUGAGUUUGAGCUUGACUGGGGAUGAUGGUGGCCCCAACCGCACCAGCACAGAAAGUCGAGGCACAGACACAGAGAGCUCAGGUGAAGAUAAGGACUCUGACAGCAUGGAGGACACUGGUCAUUACUCCAUUAAUGAUGAAAAUCGAGUCCAUGACCGCUCAGAGGAAGAGGAAGAGGAGGAAGAAGAGGAGGAAGAAGAGCAGCCUCGGCGCCGUGUACAGCGCAAGCGGGCUAACCGUGACCAGGACUCAUCAGAUGAUGAGCGGGCCCUAGAGGACUGGGUGUCCUCAGAAACAUCAGCUCUACCCCGACCUCGCUGGCAAGCCCUCCCUGCCCUUCGGGAGCGGGAGCUGGGUUCAAGUGCCCGCUUUGUCUAUGAGGCCUGUGGGGCAAGAGUCUUUGUGCAGCGUUUCCGCCUGCAGCAUGGGCUUGAGGGCCAUACUGGUUGUGUCAAUACCCUGCACUUUAACCAGCGCGGCACCUGGCUGGCCAGUGGCAGCGAUGACCUGAAGGUGGUGGUGUGGGAUUGGGUACGGCGGCAGCCAGUACUGGACUUUGAGAGUGGCCACAAAAGUAAUGUGUUCCAGGCCAAGUUUCUUCCUAACAGUGGUGAUUCUACUCUGGCCAUGUGUGCCCGUGACGGGCAGGUUCGAGUAGCAGAACUGUCUGCCACACAGUGUUGCAAGAAUACAAAACGUGUGGCCCAGCACAAGGGAGCGUCCCACAAGUUGGCACUGGAACCAGACUCUCCCUGUACGUUCUUAUCUGCAGGUGAAGAUGCAGUUGUUUUCACCAUUGACCUGAGACAAGACCGCCCAGCGUCGAAACUGGUGGUGACAAAAGAGAAAGAGAAGAAAGUGGGGCUGUAUACGAUCUAUGUGAAUCCUGCCAAUACCCACCAGUUUGCAGUGGGUGGACGAGAUCAGUUUGUAAGGAUUUAUGACCAGAGGAAAAUUGAUGAGAAUGAGAACAAUGGAGUACUCAAGAAGUUCUGUCCUCAUCACCUGGUGAACAGUGAGUCCAAAGCAAACAUCACCUGUCUUGUGUACAGCCACGACGGCACAGAGCUCCUGGCCAGUUACAAUGAUGAAGACAUUUACCUCUUCAACUCCUCUCACAGUGAUGGGGCCCAGUAUGUUAAGAGAUACAAGGGCCACAGAAAUAAUGCCACAGUAAAAGGCGUCAAUUUCUAUGGCCCCAAGAGUGAGUUUGUGGUGAGCGGUAGUGACUGUGGGCACAUCUUCCUCUGGGAGAAAUCAUCCUGCCAGAUUAUUCAGUUCAUGGAGGGGGACAAGGGAGGCGUGGUAAACUGUCUUGAGCCCCACCCUCACCUGCCUGUGCUGGCAACCAGUGGCCUAGACCAUGAUGUGAAGAUCUGGGCACCCACAGCUGAAGCUUCCACUGAGCUGACAGGGUUAAAAGAUGUGAUUAAGAAGAACAAGCGGGAGCGGGAUGAAGAUAGCUUGCACCAAACUGACCUGUUUGAUAGUCACAUGCUGUGGUUCCUUAUGCAUCACCUGAGACAGAGACGCCAUCACCGGCGCUGGCGAGAACCUGGGGUUGGGGCCACAGACGCGGACUCUGAUGAGUCUCCCAGCUCCUCAGACACAUCGGACGAGGAGGAGGGCCCUGACCGGGUGCAGUGCAUGCCAUCUUGAGGCCUCAUACCUAGGUGGGGCAGGCUGGGGCUGCCAACCUGAUCCUGCCUGGGCAACCCUUUCCUGUCCCAGGCCCUACAUUCAGCAGAAACGCACUUUGGACUUUUUGCUUUAGAUAAAAGAAAGACAUCCCAGGAGAAGGACAAACCAGAGGAGUGAACCAACAAAGAGUACCUAGGAAUGGGAGUUGAGCCCUGGAAUGGGGCUCUAUGGAGAGGUGCAUAGGACUCGGCAGAAAUGGCCUCUCCCCAAAGCCUCUUUUUGAGAGGAGAGGGAAGCCUAUUUUGUUAACUGGUUUGGGAUAGGGAAUGGGGUUUCUUUUUCUUUAAUCUCCCUUGUUUCUUGGGCUGGGGGAGGGGUGGGGGGAACAACUGGCUAUUCAGUACCAAGGGGCCAGAGUGGAGGGUAGGAGUGCCACUCUCUCUUUGGUUUAGGUUUUUGACCUUUUCUUCCUUUGUUUUUUAAAAGUUUAUGACAGUUGGCUCCCCCCCCACCCCCAGCAACCCCAUCCCAGAAUCCUAUUUUCCUGGGAAGUCCUUAAAGCCCCUAACCAUCCCACACUCUUCACUUUCCUUUCCACCUUAUUCAUUCUCUGUACUUACCACAGUAUUUUGCACUUGAUUACAUAUCCUUCACUCUCUUCUCUUCAUCCCAUCACCCCCUAAAUAGGUCAGGUGAGGGAGGCUGGGAAGAGGUGGGAGGAGGGGCAGAAGUGAAGGAAGAAUAGGAAGGAUAUUACCUCUUCUGUUAUUUUUUUAAGAAACAUUGUUUGGUGGCAGCAAUCUCCCUGUCCCUAUCACUGUUAGAGGCCUAAUUUUAUAUCUAUAAAUAUAUUAAAAAGCAAGUCAAACUUGGAUGUAUCAAGGUAAAAUUAUUGUCAAAGUUUAAAUACCUAUAUAUUCUCUGAAUGCAAUAAAGGGACUUAAGAGUGAACAAGAGUAAUGGUGUGGAAGUGACACCUGGGGUCAGUUUACCUCUGUGUAUGGUCACUAGAGAUUGGGACUUACCCUUUAGGUUUUAGGAGGCUUGAGAAUGGAAGGAUCCUCAUUUCUGCCCUUCCUGGUUCCCUGCUUUGGUGUAGGGGUUGGGAAAAACAGGAAAUUCCUCUCAGCUCUGCCUCAGAUCUCCUACCUCUCCUUAAGUCUUGUAGGGGGUUCCAAGGAUGGCUCUUCUAACCAGAGGCUGGCCUGUCUUUAAAACUUAACUACUUUAGGGUGGUGCCACCACUGCAGACUAUUGUGGUACUUUGUGACAGAAGACAUGUACACACACACCACACACAUACAUACACACUCUCUCACUCUGUCUCUCUUACCUUUAGCUGCUUGAUCAUUAAGCCAUCCAACUUCAUGCCAGUUCCCUUCUUUAUAGAAGAGUGAAGGGAAAGACUUCCUGGGUUUGACUUAAACCUUGUCCACCUCUUGAUAUUUUAGGAUUGAGGAAUAAGUCAUUAAUCUAAGGACUGAUUACAGUGGCUGGAGCUUGGGCACUUGUCUUAUCACUGGUCACUGAGUCUGAAAGUCCCAGCUGAAUUCUUGCCCUUAAGUGCUUUUGCUGCUAUUUUUUUGCCCCCAGUUCCACAAGAUCCAACCAAGAAUUCUGUAUCCUGGGACAGUCAGAUUCUUCUAAAUCAGGCCAGGAAGGAGGGGAAAAGAGUGAGAGAAUGGUAUUCCCAGAUACUUCUUCCUCCUGCCCCUUUUCCCAGCAGCUCUGAGACCAGAUGUUGGCUGCUGUACUUACUCCCUGAGGUAGGGAAUGUGUGGUGAUCGAGUGGUCUGUGUUCCUAUUGCUGGUGGGGUGAUAGGGUGGGCUAAAAACCAUGCACUCUGGAAUUUGUUGUAUUUUCUCCCAGUAAAGCUUUUCUUCUCCCGA